GUGCUUACUUCACAGCACAUAUACUAAAAUUAGAACAACACAGAGAAAACUGUCACAGCCCCUGUGCAAGUAUGACACAUAAAGCAUACAGGAAUAGGUUCCAGGU